rnacentral:lncRNA from 1 species
UUCCAUUUGAGGAGUUCUUCCGGUUUUUCAAUGAAAAGGCCCUCAAUAAAUUAGCGGUCACUUGCUACUGUCUGUAAGUACUACUUCUGUCAUUAAGUCUCCAUAUAUAGCUCAGCUCUUUCAUUGCAUGUAUAUAUAAUUAUCCUCACUAUAUUAUGCAGAUUGAAGAUCGCCGAGUGCAAGAAAAGACAAAUCGGUGAUAUUGGGUUCAUUAACACAAAUCUCAUAGAUGAAUUUACGGUUAAAUUUCAUGCCAGGAGAGGAGGAAAAAAAUGGAGCAGACCCAAAUUCAGAAGCUGCACGAAAGGGUUCAAGCGCUAGAGGAACGAGACAGCAAUCGACAUGCCGAAACUACCCCCGAAGCUACCCCGCCAUCUCAGCGGAGAAGCAGCGUGGCUUCCACCGAGUUUCUUCAGCUGGAGCAUAUCUUGACGGCUCCUGCUAGCUACCCCAUGGAUGCUAUCACGGAGUCUCAACAUUGCCACCUUAUGGCGCAAUGGCAGAACUUUAAAGUCAAGGCGGCUGUUGGCUCUGUUUUACCUCCUGAACCCGGCGCAACCUACCAUUGCCGGCCGAUUCCAGAAGGAUAUGCUAGGGUGAUGGUGGAUGAAAUAACGGAGGGAUUUGAGGACCUCCAGCUUGACCACCCUACCGGUGAAGGGGAGACUCGGCUGGGUUUAGCUCUAAAGACUCCGUGCCUAUGGCGGAAGGAGCUCAUCAACCUUCCGAACUAGGCGGCUCCGGCGAGUAAGGGCAGUCCGCCUCCUCCCCCGGCGAGUGAUCAGGGCACUCAGCCUCCUUCUCCGGCGCGUGGCGGCACUCCGCCUCCUCCUCCGCCUCCUCCUCCGGCGAGUGAUCAAGGCACUCAGCCUCCUUCUCCGGCGCGUGGCGGCACUCCGCCUCCUUCUCCGCCUGCGCCGGCGCGCCAGAGCAGCCAGCCUCCUCCUUCUCCGCCUCGUCAGCAAGGGCGGAAGAGACCCGCCGCCGCUCCGGCUGCUCCGGCGCGUCGUAGUCCUUCUCCUCCGCCUCAUAAGCAAGGAAAGAAGACAGCCGCAGCCGCUCCGUCUGCUCUGCCGGCGUCUAGCAGUAUAGCUGCCAGAGGCAGGAGGCAAUACAGAUUCGGUCCUUCUCUGAAGACUCCAGAGAAGUUACCAUACGAGAGGACCGAGGAGGAAACCAGGAAGAUCGUGCGAGCCAAAGUGACAAACUUCUUUGAAGGGGUGAAAGCAAAGAAACAUCCACCUCCGGAGGAGAAGGUAGAUCCGGUGAAAGCAAAGCGCACUCUGGCUGCCCUGAAAAAACCACCAAAGUCUUCGCCGAGAGGCAACUAUGAGCACAUUCUUGCAAAGACAUAUGCCGAAGCGGAGCGGUCGGGAAGUACUGUCAGUGAUCAAAGGUUAAAAGAACGACGAGCUGGGAAAAAAAUUGCCCAGAUCGGCGAACAAGCGAACCAAUCGUGCCCCCCGCUCAAGGUGUCAAAAGACAUCGUCGCUAAUGAUCCGAGGAUGGUGCCCGGUUAUAGCAAUCUUGGAGAUUACCUGCCCGACGAUGUACAUUAUGAAAUCAUGGAGGUGGACGAACACAAAUACCAUUACGGGAAGCCUCUCGUCAAAGAUGAAAGAUCUCUAAAUACGAUGAUGCGAAGAUUACAUGAUUAGUACAUGAAAACCUGCAGAGAGUCUGAUGGGAUGAGUACUUUGACGCUGAGAGUUAAACCGGAGCAUGACCUCGUUGGAAUUGAACUGCUGAAUGUUCCAUUUGAGGAUUUCUUCCAGUUUUACGAUCAAAAGGCCCUCGAUAAAACAACGAUCACUUGCUACUGUCUGUAAGUAGUACUACUUCUGUCAUUAAGUCUCUCUAUAUAGGUCAGCUCUUUCAUUGCAUGUAUUUAUAAUUAUCCUCACUAUAUUAUGCAGAUUGAAGAUCGCCGAAUUGAAGAAAAGACAAAUCGGUGAUAUUGGGUUCAUUAACACAAAUCUCAUAGAUGCAUAUACGGUUGAAAAACAUCCCAAAGAAGCCGAGGCCAACUUGCUACGAUCGUUG